rnacentral:lncRNA from 1 species
UUUCUUAUACUUUAUAUUUAGUUAAUGUCUAUAUUUUAUAUUUUAAGAUAGAUGUUUAAAUCUUUACGUAUUUUUCCAUUUUUAAUGUAAAACGGAAAUGUUUAAUAGACGAACUUGGACAAAUAGUCAAAUAGUUAUAUUUAUGUUUUUUUUUUUCUUUUUUUUUUAUAAAAUGGUAAUGUUACAUUAUGAAGAUAAACCGUUUUUUUAGUGAACAAUGGUAAUCUUACAUAUGUUUAAUGUAAAUUUUCCAUUUUUUUAUGUUGUAUGUUUACAUAUUAUUGUUAUUUUUAAAUGUAAAAUGGUAAUAUUACAUAUGUUUAAUGUAGUAUUUCCAUUUUUAUGUUGUAUGUUUUACAUAUAUUUAUUAUUUUCGAAAUUAUAUAUAAUUUUUUUGUUUUAUUUAUAAAACCGGAAUGUUACAUUAUGGAGAUAAGCCGUCUUUUUUUAAGUGAAAAAUAGUAAUCUUACAUAUGUUUAAUGUAGUUUUUCCAUUUUUUUAUGUUGUAUGUUUACAUAUUUUUUACAAUUUUCGAAAAUAAGUAAUACUUUAUAUUUAGUUAAUGUCUAUAUUUUAUAUUUUAAGAUAGAUGUUUAAAUCUUUACGUAUUUUUCCAUUUUUAAUGUAAAACGGAAAUGUUUAAUAGACGAACUUGGACAAAUAGUCAAAUAGUUAUAUUUAUGUUUUUUUUUUUUUUUAUAAAAUGGUAAUGUUACAUUAUGAAGAUAAACCGUGUUUUUAGUGAACAAUGGUAAUCUUACAUAUGUUUAAUGUAAAUUUUCCAUUUUUUAUGUUGUAUGUUUACAUAUUAUUGUUAUUUUAAAUGUAAAAUGGUAAUCUUACAUAUGUUUAAUGUAGUAUUUCCAUUUUUAUGUUGUAUGUUUUACAUAUAUUUAUUAUUUUCGAAAUUAUAUAUAAUUUUUUUUGUUUUUUUUAUAAAACGGGAAUGUUACAUUAUGGAGAUAAGCCGUCUUUUUUUAAGUGAAAAAUAAUAAUCUUACAUAUGUUUAAUGUAGUUUUUCCAUUUUUUUAUGUUGUAUGUUUACAUAUUUUUUACAAUUUUCAAAAAUAAGUAAUAUUAAAAUGUAAAACUAUAUUUUAUGCCACGUGUCAGAUUUUGGGAGAAAUUUUUUCCGCUGAUGUGGACGCCCUAUGGAGCCUCAAAAGCUCCCUUUUAUUAGUAGAGAUUUUUCCAUUUUUAAUGUAAAACGGAAAUGUUUAAUAGACGAACUUGGACAAAUAGUCAAAAAGUUAUAUUUAUGUUUUUUUUUUCUUUUUUUUAUAAAAUAGUAAUGUUACAUUAUGAAGAUAAACCGUUUUUUUAGUGAACAAUGGUAAUCUUACAUAUGUUUAAUGUAAAUUUUCCAUUUUUUAUGUUGUAUGUUUACAUAUUAUUGUUAUUUUUAAAUGUAAAAUGGUAAUCUUACAUAUGUUUAAUGUAGUAUUUCCAUUUUUAUGUUGUAUGUUUUACAUAUAUUUAUUAUUUUCGAAAUUAUAUAUAAUUUUUUUUGUUUUUUUUAUAAAACGGGAAUGUUACAUUAUGGAGAUAAGCCGUCUUUUUUUAAGUGAAAAAUAAUAAUCUUACAUAUGUUUAAUGUAGUUUUUCCAUUUUUUUAUGCUGUAUGUUUACAUAUUUUUUACAAUUUUCAAAAAUAAGUAAUAUUAAAAUGUAAAACUAUAUUUUAUGCCACGUGUCAGAUUUUGGGAGAAAUUUUUUCCGCUGAUGUGGACGCCCUAUGGAGCCUCAAAAGCUCCCUUUUAUUAGUAGAGAUUCGUAUAUAUUAUAUAGUUGAAAAUUUGCAUAACAAUGACAAAAGUAGUUAAGCUUAAUUCGAGAGGAGACUAAUCCGUUGGUUAAGCAUUUGAAUACCGCGGAUUAUAUUGUGAUUCAUGUAUGUUAUAGUUAAUGUUAUAGUUAGACUAAAAGUUAUAAUUAAGCAAACAAAAGUUACGGGUUAGCUUUAAAAAAAAAAAUUCAAAUUAUGACAUUUUUGUCUGAGCUCUUUGCUUAACCCGAAUCCUGAAAUA